GCCCUGCGUAGUGCGUGUAGGCAGAAUUUUUAGAACCUACAAGUUUAAAAAGGGACCAAUUCUUUGAGUAUGGCGUGCAAGCUUACACUUUUGCAAAUUUAUAUUUAGCUUUAAGUAGUAAGAAGCCCACAAGUAUUCAAGUAGGACCCACCUGUCGAAGACAGGUCCUUAAAAAUUCCACUAACUUACGGCUAAUGUGGGGAA
rnacentral:other from 1 species